rnacentral:rRNA from 1 species
GUUUUGAAGCUUGCUUUAGAACCCGGAAAGCGGCGAAAGGGAGAGUAACGAGUAGUUAUCUACCCCAAGGCCCGGAAUAGCUGCGGGAAACUGCAGGUAAUGCCGGAUAAUAUCCCCGGAUCAAAGGUGUGAUUCCGCCUUGGGAGGAGACUGCUUUGUACUAGCUAGUUGGUGUGGUAAUGGCGCACCAAGGCAACGAUGGGUAGCUGGUCUGAGAGGAUGGUCAGCCACACUGGGACUGAGAUACGGCCCAGACUCCUACGGGGGGCAGCAGUCUAGAGGCUUCGUCAAUGCCCGAAAGGUGAACGAGCGACGCCGCGUGCGGGAUGAAGGUCUUCGGAUCGUAAACCGCUUUUAUUAGGAAAGAAGAUUGUGCUCGUGAAGCAUAGUUUGACGGUACCUGAUGAAUAAGCCUCGGCUAACUCCGUGCCAGCAGCCGCGGUAAUACGGAGGAGGCGAGCGUUGUUCGGAAUCAUUGGGCGUAAAGGGCUUGUAGGCGGACAGGUGUGUCUGGCGUGAAAUCUCCACUGCUUACCAGGGAGGGUGCGUUGGAAACUGCUUGUCUGGAGUAUGACAGAGGGUCGCGGAAUUCCGGGUGUAGCGGUGGAAUGCGUAGAUAUCCGGAGGAACACCGGUGGCGAAGGCGGCGGCCUGGGUCAAUACUGACGCUGAGGAGCGAAAGCUAGGGUAGCAAACAGGCUUAGAUACCCUGGUAGUCCUAGCUGUAAACUGUGGAUACUAGGUGUGGGAGGUAUCGACCCCUUCUGCGCCGGAGCUAACGUAUUAAGUAUCCCGCCUGGGAAGUACGGCCGCAAGGUUGAAGCUCAAAGGAAUUGACGGGGGCCCGCACAAGCGGUGGAGCAUGUGGUUUAAUUCGACGCAACGCGAAGAACCUUACCCGGUCUUGACAUCUGCAGAAUUCUUCAGAGAUGGAGGAGUGCCGGUUUUACCGGAGCUGCAAGACAGGUGCUGCAUGGCUGUCGUCAGCUCGUGUCGUGAGAUGUUGGGUUAAGUCCCGCAACGAGCGCAACCCCUGCUUUCAGUUACCAUCAUUAAGUUGGGGACUCUGGAAGGACCGCUGCGGUAACAACGCAGAGGAAGAUGGGGACGACGUCAAGUCAUCAUGGUCCUUAUGACCGGGGCUACACACGUGCUACAAUGGUAGUUACAGAGGGAUGCGAAGCAGUGAUGUGGAGCGAAUCUCAGAAAAGCUACCACAGUUCGGAUUGAGGUCUGCAACUCGACCUCAUGAAGCAGGAAUCGCUAGUAAUCGCGCAACAUCAUGGCGCGGUGAAUACGUUCCCGGGCC